rnacentral:rRNA from 1 species
GACGAACCGUGCGAACGUUAUUCGGAAUCAUUGGGCUUAAAGGGCGCGCAGGCGGCUGCUCAAGUCAGGCGUGAAAGGCCUGGGCUCAACCCGGGAAUUGCGCUUGAGACUGGGCUGGCUUGAGUGCGGGAGAGGAUGGUGGAAUUCCCAGUGUAGAGGUGAAAUUCGUAGAUAUUGGGAAGAACACCGGUGGCGAAGGCGGCCAUCUGGACCGCAACUGACGCUGAGGCGCGAAAGCGUGGGGAGCGAACAGG